CCUACGGGGCGCAGCAGUGAGGAAUAUUGGUCAAUGGACGAGAGUCUGAACCAGCCAAGUAGCGUGAAGGAUGACUGCCCUAUGGGUUAUAAACUUCUUUUAUAUGGGAAUAAAAUGUUCCACGUGUGGGAUUUUGUAUGUACCAUAUGAAUAAGGAUCGGCUAACUCCGUGCCAGCAGCCGCGGUAAUACGGAGGAUCCGAGCGUUAUCCGGAUUUAUUGGGUUUAAAGGGAGCGUAGGUGGAUUGUUAAGUCAGUUGUGAAAGUUUGCGGCUCAACCGUAAAGUUGCAGUUGAAACUGGCAGUCUAGAGUACAGUAGAGGUGAGCGGAAUUCGAGGUGUAGCGGUGAAAUGCUUAGAUAUCACGAAGAACUCCGAUUGCGAAGGCAGUUCACUGGACUGCAACUGACACUGAGGCUCGAAAGUGUGGGUAUCAAACAGGAUUAGAUACCCUGGUAGUC
rnacentral:rRNA from 1 species